AGGUAAGCUACUAAGAGCGAAUGGUGGAUGCCUUGACUGGUAAAGGCGAUGAAGGACGUACUAGACUGCGAUAAGCUACGGGGAGCUGUCAAGAAGCUUUGAUCCGUAGAUUUCCGAAUGGGGCAACCCAAUGUAUAGAGAUAUACAUUACCUAUAUAGGAGCGAACGAGGGGAAUUGAAACAUCUUAGUACCCUCAGGAAAAGAAAUCAAUAGAGAUUGCGUCAGUAGCGGCGAGCGAAAGCGCAAGAGGGCAAACCCAGUGCUUGCACUGGGGGUUGUAGGACUGCAAUGUGCAAGAGGUAAGUUUAGCAGAACAUUCUGGAAAGUAUAACCAUAGAGGGUGAUAGUCCCGUAUGCGAAAAACAAACCUUAGCUAGCAGUAUCCUGAGUAGGGCGGGACACGAGGAAUCCUGUCUGAAUCUGGGUCGACCACGAUCCAACCCUAAAUACUAAUACCAGAUCGAUAGUGCACAAGUACCGUGAGGGAAAGGUGAAAAGAACUGAGGUGAUCAGAGUGAAAUAGAACCUGAAACCAUUUGCUUACAAUCAUUCAGAGCCCUAUGUAGCAAUACAGGGUGAUGGACUGCCUUUUGCAUAAUGAGCCUGCGAGUUGUGGUGUCUGGCAAGGUUAAGCAAACGCGAAGCCGUAGCGAAAGCGAGUCUGAAUAGGGCGCUUAGUCAGAUGCUGCAGACCCGAAACGAAGUGAUCUAUCCAUGAGCAAGUUGAAGCUAGUGUAAGAACUAGUGGAGGACUGAACCCAUAGGCGUUGAAAAGCCCCGGGAUGACUUGUGGAUAGGGGUGAAAGGCCAAUCAAACUUCGUGAUAGCUGGUUCUCUCCGAAAUAUAUUUAGGUAUAGCGUUGUGUCGUAAUAUAAGGGGGUAGAGCACUGAAUGGGCUAGGGCAUACACCAAUGUACCAAACCCUAUCAAACUCCGAAUACCUUAUAUGUAAUCACAGCAGUCAGGCGGCGAGUGAUAAAAUCCGUCGUCAAGAGGGAAACAACCCAGACUACCAGCUAAGGUCCCUAAAUCUUACUUAAGUGGAAAACGAUGUGAAGUUACUUAAACAACCAGGAGGUUGGCUUAGAAGCAGCCAUCCUUUAAAGAAAGCGUAAUAGCUCACUGGUCUAGUGAUUUUGCGCGGAAAAUAUAACGGGGCUAAAGUAAGUACCGAAGCUGUAGACUUGCGCACAACUUAGAUUAUUUAAGUUUAGAAUAUGAGAAACUAAGUUAUAUGUUUAGUUAUAUUUUUACUGAUUUUUAUAGAGUAAAGAUAGAAAUAAAACUUAGUAAAAUCAGUAAAAAUAUUCUUAGACUAAAGUUAAGUAGUUUAAGUUGUGUGCAAGUGGUAGGAGAGCGUUCUAUUUGCGUCGAAGGUAUACCGGUAAGGAGUGCUGGAGCGAAUAGAAGUGAGCAUGCAGGCAUGAGUAGCGAUAAUUAAUGUGAGAAUCAUUAACGCCGUAAACCCAAGGUUUCCUACGCGAUGCUCGUCAUCGUAGGGUUAGUCGGGUCCUAAGUCGAGUCCGAAAGGGGUAGACGAUGGCAAAUUGGUUAAUAUUCCAAUACCAACAUUAGUGUGCGAUGGAAGGACGCUUAGGGCUAAGGGGGCUAGCGGAUGGAAGUGCUAGUCUAAGGUCGUAGGAGGUUAUACAGGCAAAUCCGUAUAACAAUACUCCGAGAACUGAAAGGCUUUUUGAAGUCUUCGGAUGGAUAGAAGAACCCCUGAUGCCGUCGAGCCAAGAAAAGUUUCUAAGUUUAGCUAAUGUUGCCCGUACCGUAAACCGACACAGGUGGGUGGGAUGAGUAUUCUAAGGCGCGUGGAAGAACUCUCUUUAAGGAACUCUGCAAAAUAGCACCGUAUCUUCGGUAUAAGGUGUGGUUCGCUUCGUAUUAGGAUUUACUCCGAAAGCGAAGAAACUUACAACAAAGAGUCCCUCCCGACUGUUUACCAAAAACACAGCACUCUGCUAACUCGUAAGAGGAUGUAUAGGGUGUGACGCCUGCCCGGUGCUCGAAGGUUAAUUGAUGGGGUUAGCAUUAGCGAAGCUCUUGAUCGAAGCCCGAGUAAACGGCGGCCGUAACUAUAACGGUCCUAAGGUAGCGAAAUUCCUUGUCGGUUAAAUACCGACCUGCAUGAAUGGCGUAACGAGAUGGGAGCUGUCUCAAAGAGGGAUCCAGUGAAAUUGUAGUGGAGGUGAAAAUUCCUCCUACCCGCGGCAAGACGGAAAGACCCCGUGGACCUU
rnacentral:rRNA from 1 species